rnacentral:rRNA from 1 species
UACGUAGGGGGCGAGCGUUGUCCGGAGUUACUGGGCGUAAAGGGCGUGCAGGCGGUGCGGUAAGGUUAGCGUGACAGUCUCCGGCUUAACUGGAGAAGGCCGCUGAAAACUGCUGGACUUGAGGGCCAGAGAGGGACAUAGAAUUCCGGGUGGAGUGGUGAAAUGCGUAGAUAUCCGGAGGAAUACCAAAGGCGAAGGCAGUGUCCUGGCUGGCAACUGACGCUGAGGCGCGAAAGCUAGGGGAGCGAACAGG